AUUGAACGCUGGCGGCAUGCUUUACACAUGCAAGUCGAACGGUAACAGGCCGCAAGGUGCUGACGAGUGGCGAACGGGUGAGUAAUGCAUCGGAACGUGCCCAGUCGUGGGGGAUAACGCAGCGAAAGCUGCGCUAAUACCGCAUACGAUCCAUGGAUGAAAGCGGGGGACCGUAAGGGCUCGCGCGAUUGGAGCGGCCGAUGGUAGAAUAGGGAGUUGGUGGGGUAAAGGCUCACCAAGCAAACGAUCUGUAGCUGGUCUGAGAGGACGACCAGCCACACUGGGACUGAGACACGGCCCAGACUCCUACGGGAGGCAGCAGUGGGGAAUUUUGGACAAUGGGCGCAAGCCUGAUCCAGCAAUGCCGCGUGCAGGAAGAAGGCCUUCGGGUUGUAAACUGCUUUUGUACGGAACGAAACGGUCUGGGUUAAUACCCUGGGCUAAUGACGGUACCGUAAGAAUAAGCACCGGCUAACUACGUGCCAGCAGCCGCCGCCGUAA
rnacentral:rRNA from 1 species